AACGAACGCUGGCGGCGUGGAUUAGGCAUGCAAGUCGAACGCGAAAGAGGGGGCAACCCCUUGAGUAGAGUGGCGAACGGGUGAGUAACGCGUGAGAAACCUGCCUUCGACAGGGGGAUAACACUCCUAACGGGGUGCUAAUACCGCAUGAGACCACGGAGUCGCAUGGCUCCGAGGUCAAAGGUGGCCUCUAUUUAUAAGCUACCGGUCGAAGAUGGUCUCGCGUCCCAUUAGCUAGUUGGCGGUGUAAAAGACCACCAAGGCGACGAUGGGUAGCUGGUCUGAGAGGAUGGUCAGCCACACUGGGACUGAGAUACGGCCCAGACUCCUACGGGAGGCAGCAGUCGAGAGGCUUCGGCAAUGGGGGAAACCCUGACCGAGCGACGCCGCGUGAGGGAUGAAGGCCCUUGGGUUGUAAACCUCUUUGUUCGGGAAGAAGUGCGAUCAGGUGAACAAUCUGGUCGUUUGACGGUACCGGACGAAUAAGCUCCGGCUAACUCCGUGCCAGCAGC
rnacentral:rRNA from 1 species